GCCAGUUUGGCCCAUUCCACCCCAUCCCGUCCCUCCCAGUUCGCCUCCCAGUUCCCCACCACACUCACACUCGCUAGGGUUCCGGCCGCCGCCGUUGUGCGUUGCCCUUCCGCCCCCUACUCAUCGUAACCGCCGGCACCUCCCCCUCCUGCUCCCUCUCCUCGUCGUCGUCGCCACGCUGCGGGGAGCGGCGCCGGCCGCGGGCGUCGCGGAGUCGUGCGCUCACUAGGGUUUCGGCCACCACCGGCGUGUGUUGCCCUCCCUGCGCCGCACAGAUAGGGACCCAUGGCUCCUUCGGCUCGUCGCCGCCGGCACCUACUCCUCCUACUCUCGCUCCUCCUCCUCGCCGCCGCGCUGCGGGGAGCGGCGCCGGCCGCGGGCGCCGCGGAGUCCUUCCGAAAAGAGUAAGAGCGCAUGGUGGACACUCGUCGUAGUUCCGCGGACGGCAGCGGACAGGGAAAGGGCGGCGGGAAGCGCGCGCCGUCGUCGCCGCUGCAGCCCCCGUCCUCUGCCUCUCCCAACAAGCGCUCCAAGGUGACCCUGGCCGGGCUGGCCCCCUGUCCAACAAGCGCUCCAAGGUGACCCUAGCCGGGGUGACCCCAGGAGAAGGCGCCCGUCGCCGCGGCGGCGGAGGCGGAGCAGGGGCCGAGGACCUCGAGGUCGAGGCCUGCUAAGGCGGCGGGGAAGACGCUCGCGCCAUCGACCGCGCGGAAAGCGCUGCCUGCGGCGGCGAGGACGGGGUCGCAAGCGAGGCAGUCGCCGCACUAGGGGUCGUGGGCGAGGCUGCUGUCACAGUAGUUGCGGUGAUUCAUUUCAGCACCAUCCCAUCGGAUCGGCGACUGCUUGGAUCGUGGCCGAGACCUGCAUUGAUUCAUUUCAGACAGUAACUGGAAGUUCAGUACACUUCAGAGGACUACAUGUUGUUAUCACAGUUUGCAGGGAGUUGCCUGAAUAUUCCUGGGGCUGGGGGAGUUCAGAAACAGUUUCGGGAAGAGAUGAUGGAUUGUGCAGUAGUAUUUGAUUGUGAUGCGUUCCUGUCAAAUGGUUUGCGGCCAGUCAGGAGCUCUAACAUGACGACUUCGAAGCUAUAUACAUCGCUCUUCAGUGAGUAUUGGCCAGACAUGGCUACCUCAGGUGCCCUAUAUCCUGAGUUUUCUUCUGAUUCCUGGAAUUGAUGCUACGCAAGUUGUCAGGAAGACUGAGGAUAUUGUGCAUGACAUUACCCCAGAAUCUGAAAGAUUAACACGAAGGAUUAACGCUGGUGUCUACUGCUCGGUCUUGGAAGCAACGUCUACUGCUCGUCCACUACGUAGGUUGGUCGUUUUUGGCACAGGAGGCCAUGAUGGCUGGCCGCCCUGCCUACCCUGUAGGAUUCCAGUCGACGCCAACAUUCAUGGCGUCUUGAUUUCCAUGUAAGUAGCUUCUCCCUAAUCCAUGCUGGUAAAGUCCCAGAGAACUAAUUAUUGUUUAAGUCGUGUACAUUUCUGCAGCAGGAAAGGAAAUGCACCCGAGAGGUUGUUGUUUCUUAAGCUUAGAUUAGUAAUACUAAGACCUGCCAUCCUUAUGCUUGACUCGUUGACUAGGCAAUCAGUAAUUGACCCAUUAAGUUUAGAAGUGUUUAAAUCUUGGUGCUCCAAAGUCCAAUGGUAGUGGGCCAACUGAAUUGUUCUGACUGAGAUCCAGGCCGGUUAAAUUGAGCCUUAUAUUCAUGGGAAGCUUAGGUAUUGGACCACCAAGCUGGUCAGAACUGAAAUCCAUUUCUGUUCCCCUCAUAAAUUUCCCCUAGAAGCAUAGAUUUUCAUCUUCUAACGACAACUGUAAGAAACACAAGCAUAAAUGCUAUCUAUAUGCGUCCAUGCAAUUACACGUGUAUUCAUUUCAACCGAUUCACAUAACAAACACAAAAUUCAUUGUAAAACUUUCUAAAGUUCAAUCCCAACAUAAAAAAUACGAGCAUAAAGUUUAAACAAAUAUUAAUCCUAAUUUUAUUGUGGAAAAAUAGCAAAUUCUAACAACUUUCAACUCUCUUCAUCCUUCAUUAAUGACUUUGACUAUCUUCUACUCCUCGUCGUUUCGCCGUCCUUUUGAGUUGAAUGUAGACUCCACUAGGAGGGCGCUGAGUUGUUUCCUGAACCUGGGGAUGUCAUCCUGCAUAAUAGGUUGAGUUAGUUUGACAAUUGGAUGUGCAUUCUCAAGUGCCGGCAAAAGUUGGGUACAUUUCAUGCAUGCAUGCAUGCACAUCAUGUGUAACCCAUCGGUGUCGGUAUGGACGGAAGGGGUGUUACAAUGCGAUCUUGCUACUCCAAUUCGUCAAACGGACCUAAAUUUUUUUCACGCUUCCUAAUGAACUUCACAAUAAGGCACGUCAAAUU